ensembl:snoRNA SNORA75 Small nucleolar RNA SNORA75
GUCUUCUCAUGAGCUCCUCUCUGCCCGAUCAGUGGCGUUGUAUGGAUUCGCACGAGAAGUAGAGCCACGUCACGGGUCGAACGGGCACCUCCGACCCUGGGGGAUGCCCAUGUCUGCUGUGCAACAAUG